rnacentral:lncRNA from 1 species
AAAUGCAAGUAUUUUCAAUGAAAUAAGAUCGACAUGUAAUGUGUGGGUACCAACUUGAACCAAACAAGACUUAUAAACCGUGGAUGUAAUGAAGGUUUCUCCCAACGGAGUUUCAACAGAUAAGUCAAAGUCUAAUUUCUCCGGAGUCAAAUUUAAACGUUGAGCGCAAGUAGGAGAAAUAAAAGAAUGGGUAGAACCGG